CUUCUGCUGUUAUUUUGGUGAAAGUAAUGCAAAAGUAUUGUUCUGCAUUUACUCACAGGUUUCCGGAAGAAGAUGCAGAAGAAGGGGAUACAAGAACAAUGAAAUCCUCCUUGCAUGGACCAGGUCUGUCAUAAAUCAUAUGUGGUUUUCCUGUGCAACCAGUAAGGGGGACGUCGAGGAGAAGCACGGUUGAACCAAAUGUUCUGCAAGAAAUCCAAGCAGUGGGUCUUGAAGAAAAGCUUCAUACCACACACCACACAGUUUGUAGACAAACUCAUCCAGAAGGCCAUUGACAAGACUCAAUCCAAACAUUGUGUUCAAAGUGCCAACGUCCUCACUUGCCCUGCCACAGCCUGCGCUGCCACCCAACAUUGCACCAGUGCCUAAACCAUCAAAGGAGGCUGCCACGAGUUCUUUCAAAAGUCGCUUCUGAGACUGACACUUUAUAAUAAUAAUAAUAAUAAUAAUAAUCACCUCUUCCCUGAGUCCUAUUGCUGUGUCUAAUCAGA